UACGUAGGGCGCAAGCGUUGUCCGGAAUUAUUGGGCGUAAAGAGCUCGUAGGUGGUUUUGUCGCGUUGUCCGUGAAAAACUCACAACUCAAUUUGUGGGGCGUGCGGGGCGAUACGGGCAGACUGGAGUACUGCAGGGGGAGACUGGAAUUCCUGGUGUAGCGGUGGAAUGCGCAGAUAUCAGGAGGAACACCGGUGGCGAAGGCGGGUCUCUGGGCAGUAACUGACGCUGAGGAGCGAAAAGCGUGGGGGAGCGAAACAGG
rnacentral:rRNA from 1 species